rnacentral:rRNA from 1 species
CGGAGGAAGGUGGGGAUGACGUCAAGUCCUCAUGGCCCUUAUGGCCAGGGCUUCACACGUAAUACAAUGGUCGGUACAGAGAGUUGCCAACCCGCGAGGGGGAGCCAAUCUCAGAAAGCCGAUCGUAGUCCGGAUUGUAGUCUGCAACUCGACUACAUGAAGUCGGAAUCGCUAGUAAUCGCGGAUCAGCAUGUCGCGGUGAAUACGUUCCCGGNCCUUGUACACNCCGCCCGUCACACCAUGGGAGUGGGUUUUACCAGAAGUAGUUAGUCUAACCGCAAGGAGGACGAUUACCACGGUAGUAUUCAUGACUGGGGUGAAGUCGUAACAAGGUAGCCGUAUCGGAAGG